CCCAUAAUACAAAUUCACUAUGUUCUCUCCUUCCAAAUUAUAUUCUCAAGAACAUAAAAAAUAAGGUUUUUCUCUUCAAAAAUUCAUAAUCCAAAUUUAAAAAAUUUCUCUCGUCGUUCAUCUCUAAGGUACGUAAGAGCAAUAUCUUUCAUGAAGAAUCAUGAUCAUCCCCACAAGUGAGUCAAAAUUCCAUGCUAAGUCAUGAUUUUAAGACUCGGAACUGCAGUUAGACCUUUCCUGUAUCAGCUUGUGGGUGAUUCAUCUUUGCACCCAGAGGACUUGGUGAUGGUUUUGUUAUAUUUUCAACUUAUUAGAUAGUUUUAGUUCCAAUUGUUAUUUUCACUAAAGGUAGUUUGGGGUCAUGUCCCAGCAAAUCUUUCAAUUCAUGAGUUAUAGAGGCUUCAUUAGACAUUAGACAGAUGGAUGUUUUGUUAUCCUUUUAAAGUUGAUAUUCAGUAUUUCAAGUUAAUUAAACUUUGUCUUAUUUCUGGAGAUUUA